AAUAGAUACCCAGGUAGUCCACGCCCUAAACGAUGCUCACUAGGUGUUGGGGAAGCGAUUCCUUGGUACCGUAGCUAACGCGUGAAGUGAGCCGCCUGGGGAGUACGGCCGCAAGGUUAAAACUCAAAGGAGUUGACGGGGACCCGCACAAGCGGUGGAUGAUGUGGAUUAAUUCGAUGCAACGCGAACAACCUUACCUACCCUUGACAUGUCCGGAAGCCUGCUGAAAGGUGGGUGUGCUCGAAAGAGAACCGGAACACAGGUGCUGCAUGGCUGUCGUCAGCUCGUGUCGUGAGAUGUUGGGUUAAGUCCCGCAACGAGCGCAACCCUUGUCCCUAGUUGCUACGCAAGGGCACUCUAGGGAGACUGCCGGUGACAAACCGGAGGAAGGUGGGGAUGACGUCAAGUCCUCAUGGCCCUUAUGGGUAGGGCUUCACACGUCAUACAAUGGACGGUACAGAGGGUUGCCAACCCGCGAGGGGAGCCAAUCCCAGAAAGCCGUUCGUAGUCCGGAUCGCAGUCUGCAACUCGACUGCGUGAA
rnacentral:rRNA from 1 species